rnacentral:rRNA from 1 species
CCUACGGGAGGCAGCAGUGGGGAAUAUUGGACAAUGGGGGCAACCCUGAUCCAGCCAUGCCGCGUGUGUGAAGAAGGCCCUCGGGUUGUAAAGCACUUUCAGUGAGGAAGAACGCCUGGUGGUUAAUACCCAUCAGGAAAGACAUCACUCACAGAAGAAGCACCGGCUAACUCCGUGCCAGCAGCCGCGGUAAUACGGAGGGUGCGAGCGUUAAUCGGAAUUACUGGGCGUAAAGCGCGCGUAGGUGGCUUGAUAAGCCGGUUGUGAAAGCCCCGGGCUCAACCUGGGAACGGCAUCCGGAACUGUCAAGCUAGAGUGCAGGAGAGGAAGGUAGAAUUCCCGGUGUAGCGGUGAAAUGCGUAGAGAGCGGGAGGAAUACCAGUGGCGAAGGCGGCCUUCUGGACUGACACUGACACUGAGGUGCGAAAGCGUGGGUAGCAAACAGGAUUAGAUACCCUGGUAGUC